GCUAUUUCGUGACUUUUACAUGUGUCCGGGGCCAUCUUAACUCCUGAACAGCAGUGUUUUGCCGUUGAGUGUCUGGAACUAAAAUCGGACACUCGAGUAGUCGAACACCGCUGAGACCUCCAUAGUACCAGAAAUCCGUGCCAAAACUACCGAACACUCUGCCGUUCGGUAGAAAGACUCAGUAGCCUAUGGGGAUUCUGGCAAACAUCA